GGGGUUUUUGCUUUGCCCGGAAAAAAUGUUUGCUUUGCCCGGAAAAAAUGUCGGUGAUGGCGGGACGGCAUCCGUACGGUGUCCGGUCGGGUUUGCGGAGGAACGGCUUGAAACUUUGGGAUAUUCAUUUUAGAAUGACUCGUUUUAUCGUCGCAAGAUGCGGUUUAUUGUUUGCAACCCUUAAAGGAAAAACCAUGAAGAAAAUGUUCGUGCUGUUCUGUAUGCUGUUCUCCUGCGCCUUCUCCCUUGCGGC
rnacentral:rRNA from 1 species